rnacentral:rRNA from 1 species
UACGGAGGGUGCAAGCGUUAUCCGGAUUCACUGGGUUUAAAGGGUGCGUAGGCGGGCAGGUAAGUCAGUGGUGAAAUCUCCGAGCUUAACUCGGAAACUGCCAUUGAUACUAUUUGUCUUGAAUAUUGUGGAGGUAAGCGGAAUAUGUCAUGUAGCGGUGAAAUGCUUAGAUAUGACAUAGAACACCAAUUGCGAAGGCAGCUUACUACACAAUGAUUGACGCUGAGGCACGGAAGCGUGGGGAUCAAACAGG